rnacentral:lncRNA from 1 species
ACAAUUAUCAGUAACGUCCAUAUCAUCGAUACUUCACACAGCGCUGAUGCACAGUUACAGAAUUAUCGGGGAACGAUUUCAGACAUAUGUGUAGGAGACAAUGAAUUAAUGUACUACGAAGUAAACUAUACAUAUACAAUAGUCGACAAAUUAUCUGCAAAUAUUCUUGUUCUAGAGGUAGGUCUGGCCGAACGUUCAAAGGCUGAUAGGUUUUUCUACGUUGGGAACAGCAACGUAAGCGGAUGGUCUUUUUACCUAGCAAGGGGUUCGGUUGUUGACCAUGUGUUCUUGUAUUCACAAAAUACUGAUUAUACCCGAGUUUUGGAAUCAAUCGGUAAUAAUAUAGUUGGUACAAAAGCUCAUGGGAAAUUUAUGUUGUUCAUAAACAGACGGCGAAAUGAAUUUUCGCUAAAGCAAGAUGAAUCGAUAUUCCAUGUAUUCAAGAAUGUGACCUCAAAUGUGAAACUUUGUCCUGUUUUCGCGGUGUACAGUUCCAGCAGAGUUAAUGUCAAAUUACAAUUAAUGAAUCCUCGAAACUUUACCUAUUAUCCGUGGUAAAAUAUUUAAUAAAGACACUCUAUGGAUAUUAAUAUUCAAUGAUGCGUUGAAUAAUGUCUUUAUGUUCCACAAUGAUUUAUUUCCUGUGUGGUGUGAUUUAACUUUUUUGUGUCGUCUGAUCAUUUUUUUUUCCUUCUUUUAGUCAUAAUGCUGACUGACUAUCAUCAUUAU